GGCCCCCCAGCCCCUCCCACCUCCGUAGGGCACGCAGCCUGCUAGACAGGCUCCCGGACCCCUUCCCACCACCCCACCCCGUCGCGACUCGCGCGCCUUCCACCCUAGGGCUGGGUCUCAAAGCCUCCUUAGUUGUCCUCCUGGAAGGCACCCAGCAGCGCCCCGUUAGCUCAGCGUCGCGGAGCAGCCGCAGCCGCCACCAGGCCCCGCCCAGAGGCAGCCGCGAGCAAGGCCGCACCAGGGACGACUGCAGAGCGCGAAACCAGGAAUCUGAAGCCCCCUGCCUCCCAGCCCGGUCCUCAUCGAGCUCCUGAGCCCCUCCCUCAAUCCGGGAACCAGGAAUGCAGGCCAAAAAUAUCUCUCCGUUCCAGACCUAGGAGGCUCCGCUUGCAACCACAUCUGAGCGGAUGAAAACCCAGGAGUCUGAGCUUUGAUUGCUUUUUGCGCCAAGAAUCUGGGCCUCCAGCCUAGGCGUCAUUUGGAACCUGGGAGUCCGUGCCUCCGACUCCCACCGCCCUAGAUCCAGGCGUUUUGCUAUCAACAGCCCUUCCCCUGCCCCCAUCGACUGUGACAUCUGGGACCCAGGAGUCCCGCCCACCAAUCCCUAACACCGCGAGUCCCAGUAUAAAUGAAGAUUUGGGGACCCAGGAGUCGGGGACCUCAGCGCAGAAACCCCUUAAAGCCUAGAGAUCAGCAGCCUCAACUAUUUCGCCUUUCAGAGACCCAGGCGACAGAGACCCUAGCCCACAGACCCCAUUAAACUGAGAGGCCUAGUCUCCCAA